rnacentral:tRNA from 1 species
GCGGGAGUGGUGAAAUUGGCAGACACGCAGGAUUUAGGUUCCUGUGCCUUCGGGCGUGGGGGUUCAACUCCCCCCUUCCGCAC